ACGGGUGCGUAACACGUGGAUAACCUUCCUUCAGGUGGGGAAUAACCCAGUGAAAAUUGGGCUAAUACCGCAUAACAUGACGAGGGCACAUGCUUUUGUCUUCAAAGGCGCAAGUCGCCAGAAGAGGGAUCCGCGGCCGAUUAGCUUGUUGGCGAGGUAAUGGCUCACCAAGGCUUUGAUCGGUAGCCGGACUGAGAGGUUGGCCGGCCACACUGGAACUGAGACACGGUCCAGACUCCUACGGGAGGCAGCAGUGGGGAAUCUUGCACAAUGGGCGAAAGCCUGAUGCAGCAACGCCGCGUGGGGGAUGAAGCUUCUCGGAGUGUAAACCCCUUUCGACCCGGACGAAUGCCCGCAAGGGCUUGACGGUACGGGUAUAAGAAGCCCCGGCUAACUACGUGCCAGCAGCCGCGG
rnacentral:rRNA from 1 species